AUAAUUCUUUAGAAUCCAAUAAUUAAGCUGAGAUGUCGUCAGAAGAGUUGGAGCCGACUCGCUCAAGAUCAUGUGGAUCAAAGAAAAAAUUGAAGAAAAGGGAAGAAGCUUUGUCGUCAGGUAAACAAGAAAACAAAUAAAUAAUUACUCUCUUUUGUUACUUAUCAAAUCAUUCAUUGCAUGUACAUUGAUUGUUAAAAGUAAUCUAGUUCUAAU
rnacentral:lncRNA from 1 species